UUAUGGCUUAGUUAAGAGGCAGAUAUGAAUUCUGUGUUUUGUGACCGAGGCCUUUUGAGGGGACUCUCUGUCUCUUUCUCAUCAACUGUCCUCCAAGCAGCCUCACACAUUC
rfam:Prunus persica cultivar Lovell chromosome G7, whole genome shotgun sequence.